rnacentral:piRNA from 1 species
UUUCAAUGUGCAGUACAAUAAUUAACUAGGU